AAAAAGACAAACCCUGGGUUUCCGUGUCCAACGUUUGAUUGUCCGUCUUAUAUGAAAUUUUUUUAUAAUUAGUAUUUUCAUUGUUGUUAGAUGAUAAAACAUGAUUAAUACUUUAUGCGUGACUUGUCUUUUAAAUUUUUUUCAUAAUUUUUUCAAAUAAGACGGACGGUCAAACGUUGGACACAGAAACCUAGGGUUUGCCUUUUU
rfam:Oryza sativa Japonica Group DNA, chromosome 11, cultivar: Nipponbare, complete sequence.